UACGAAGGGGGCUAGCGUUGCUCGGAAUCACUGGGCAUAAAGCGCACGUAGGCGGCUAGGUCCGUCCGAUGUGAAAGCCCCCGGCUCAACCGGGGAAUGGCAUCGGAUACAGCCUGGCUUGAGGACGGUUGGGGUGAGUGGAACUCCUGGUGGAGCGGUGAAAUGCGUAGAUAUCAGGAGGAACACCGGUGGCGAAAGCGGCUCACUGGACCGUUACUGACGCUGAGGUGCGAAAGCUAGGGGAGCAAACGGG
rnacentral:rRNA from 1 species